UUGGGAGCUUUGCCCUCUGGUUGCUUUG
rnacentral:piRNA from 1 species